rnacentral:rRNA from 1 species
CCUUACCCGCUGAACUUAAGCAUAUCACUAAGCGGAGGAAAAGAAAAUAACCAUGAUUCCCCCAGUAACGGCGAGUGAACGGGGAAAAGCCCAGCACCGAAUCCCUCGGCAUGUGUCGUUGGGACCUGUGGUGUGUAGGAGAGCACGUCUGAAGUUAUCGCGGUUCCUAAGUUCCCUUGACCGGGACCACAGCCCAUAGAAGGUGAAAGGCCUGUGCGGACAGCGGUGGCAUCAGUUUGGGCCUCCUUGGAGUCGGAUUGCUUGAAAGUGCAGUCCAAAGUGGGAGGUAAACCUCUCCUAAGGCUAAAUAUAACCACGAGACCGAUAGCAAACAAGUACCGCGAGGGAAAGUUGCAAAGAACUUUGAAGAGAGAGUUCAAGAGGGCGUGAAACCGCUUAGAAGCAAACGGAUGGAGCGGACGUUAGUCUCUGGGAUUCAGCCUAAUGGGCGUGGGGCGCGUGGUUUGCCUGCUCUUAUUCAGACGGGCGGCUGUGUUGUCUCUGCGUUCAUGGGUGCAUUUCUCGGGGAUCGCGCCAAAGGCAGUGAGGGUGUCGCGUUGGCCUCGAGUUGGUGGCCUGUUGUUUCGGCAAUGGGUGUCUCGCUUGGGUGUCCGGUGCGGUCGCUUUUACUGUGAUGGAAAGAGUGCCCGCCUCUAGCUUGAGACUGCUGGCAUUUGCGUUGACGUGGCUUGGUUCCGGUUUCUGGACCCGGCUCGUUGAUGUUGGUGUAGGUGGUAUCUCGAGUGGCGCUCGGCUUUGGUGUUUUGUCUGUUACCCAUCCGACCCGUCUUGAAACACGGACCAAGGAGUCUAACACAUAUGCGAGUUUUUGGGUGGUAAACCCGAAAAGCGUAAUGAAAGUAUUAAGGUGGGAAUCGUAAGAUGCACCAUCGACCGGUCUGGAUUUUUAAUGAUAGAUCUGAGUAAGAGCAUAUUUGUUAGGACCCGAAAGAUGGUGAACUAUGCCUGAAUAGGGUGAAGCCAGAGGAAACUCUGGUGGAGGCUCGUAGACAUUCUGACGUGCAAAUCGAUGUUCAAAUUUGGGUAUAGGGGCGAAAGACUAAUCGAACCAUCUAGUAGCUGGUUCCCUCCGAAGUUUCCCUCAGGA